rnacentral:rRNA from 1 species
UACAGAGGGUGCGAGCGUUGUCCGGAAUCACUGGGCGUAAAGGGCGCGUAGGUGGUGGCUUAAGCGUGCGGUGAAAGCUCGGGGCUCAACUCCGAGUCGGCCGUGCGAACUGGGCUCACUGGAGCAUAGUAGAGGCAGGUGGAAUUCCGGGUGUAGCGGUGGAAUGCGUAGAGAUCCGGAAGAACACCGGUGGCGAAGGCGGCCUGCUGGGCCAUGGCUGACACUGAGGCGCGACAGCGUGGGGAGCAAACAGG